rnacentral:rRNA from 1 species
AGACGUUCUUCGAUAGCAUGCAUGUCUAGUAUAAAUAGUAUACAGUGAAACUGCGAAUGGCUCAUUAAAACAGUUAUAGUUUAUUUGAUAAUUGAAUUCUACAUGGAUAACCGUGGUAAUUCUAGAGCUAAUACAUGCUGUAAAACCUGACUUUUUGGAAAGGUUGUAUUUAUUAGAUAUCAAACCAAUAUUCCUUCGGGUUUAUUGUGAUGAUUCAUAGUAACUGGUCGGAGCGAGGCUAGGCCUUGCUAAAUCAUUCAAGUUUCUGCCCUAUCAGCUUUCGAUGGUAGUGUAUUGGACUACCAUGGCUAUAACGGGUAACGGAGAAUUAGGGUUCGAUUCCGGAGAGGGAGCCUGAGAAACGGCUACCACAUCUAAGGAAGGCAGCAGGCGCGUAAAUUACCCAAUCCUGAUUCAGGGAGGUAGUGACAAGAAAUAACAACUCGGGGGUUUUCGCCUUUCGAGAUUGCAAUGGGUACAAUUUAAACCACUUAACGAGGAACAAUUGGAGGGCAAGUCUGGUCCCCCCGUGCCCCCGCCCCGCCCGGGGCGCGCCCCGGGCGGUGACUGAUAACCUUGUACCAGUUUUCCCCAGGGGGUCUACUUCAAGCGUCAGCUGCUUCAAUCAGAAAAACGAAAGCCCAAAACCACUAGUCAACAUCGUAUACGGACGGACUACCGGGAUACCAAAUCACGCUCCCCCCCCCCCCGGUCUCGAGCGAACCGUAGCACAGGACCCGGGAGGAUUCCAUUCGGCUUCGGGGUGCCCGCCUGAAACUUAAGAAAUUCACUGGGGAUCCAGGAAUUCCCACCUCCCACUUCGAGAGUCUAACUUGACAGUUCAUAGUGCACUUUCCAGGAGAACGCAGGCGAUAUUCAAACUUGAAUAACAAGACGGCUGCGCACACAUUUGGCCCAGAAAUUGCGAUAAUUCCACGCACCCCAACGAUUAUCAGCCGGUGCUAGACAAGAAUUAAGCCGCUGCUACAUAAGGCCUGAAACGUCCGCGAAGACAGCAAUGUUAAAACAACCACCGAUAUUCUUUCGGGCGAAAGUAGCUUUUACAAGCCCGAAAGGCCUUCUUUUCGAUUAUGUC